CAGCCGCCGCGGGAAUACGGAGGGGGCUAGCGUUGUUCGGAAUUACUGGGCGUAAAGCGCACGUAGGCGGCUUGGUAAGUUAGAGGUGAAAGCCUGGAGCUCAACUCCAGAAUUGCCUUUAAGACUGCCGAGCUAGCAGGUGAGAGAGGUAAGUGGAAUUCCGAGUGUAGAGGUGAAAUUCGUAGAUAUUCGGAAGAACACCAGUGGCGAAGGCAGCUUACUGGCUCAUACUGGACGCUGGGGUGCGAAAGCGUGGGGAGCAAACAGGAUUAGAUACCCGCGUAGUCCCUGUCUCUUAUAC
rnacentral:rRNA from 1 species